GUGAAAAUCAACUCCUCCACCACCAUUUGAAGCACACAAUGAGAACGCCAGCAGUUCAAGGGACUGUUCCGGAAUGUCAUAGAACUACCUAUCUUUCAAAUCCUUAAUUGUCUAUACAGAAAAGAUGACUGACUUUCAACCAUCAUUUGUAAACUUUAUUAUCAAAGAUUGUGACACUAGAGGCAAGUAUAUUUUGUUGUUUGAGAAAUUUGCACUGAGACUUGUUUAAUUGUAUUGCGUUUUCACAUGAUUUCCAUAUGCUUAUGUUUAACAAUUUGCUGGUUAAUUGCUUUUCAUCGCCAAUAAUAAAGUCAAAGUUAUGGCUCGAA